rnacentral:pre_miRNA from 1 species
CAAAUAUUACCUCCGUCCCAAAUUACUUUUCUUAGAUUUGUCUAGAUACGGAUGUAGCUAACACUAAAGUGUAGACAAAUCUAAGACAAGUAAUUCGGGGCGGAGGGAGUACUUU